UACGUAGGGGGCAAGCGUUGUCCGGAUUUAUUGGGCGUAAAGAGCGUGUAGGCGGCCAGGUAGGUCCGUUGUGAAAACUCGAGGCUCAACCUCGAGACGUCGAUGGAAACCAUCUGGCUAGAGUCCGGAAGAGGAGAGUGGAAUUCCUGGUGUAGCGGUGAAAUGCGCAGAUAUCAGGAGGAACACCUAUGGCGAAGGCAGCUCUCUGGGACGGUACUGACGCUGAGACGCGAAAGCGUGGGGAGCGAACAGG
rnacentral:rRNA from 1 species